GCAGUCGUGGCCGAGCGGUUAAGGCGAUGAACUAGAAAUCCAUUGGGGACUUCCCCCACACAGGUUCGAAUCCUGUCAACUGCG
rnacentral:tRNA from 2 species